UACGGAAGGGGGCUAGCGUUGCUCGGAAUCACUGGGCGUAAAGCGCACGUAGGCGGACUCUUAAGUCGGUGGUGAAAUCCUGGAGCUCAACUCCGGGGCUGCAGGUGAGACUGCGUGGCUAGAGCACGGUAGAGGCGAGUGGAAUUCCCGGUGUAGCGGUGGAAUGCGUAGAUAUCGGGAAGAACACCGGUGGCGAAGGCGGCUCGCUGGGCCGUUGCUGACGCUGAGGCGCGAAAGCGUGGGGAGCAAACGGG
rnacentral:rRNA from 1 species